GGUUCUAUAACUCAGUUGGUAGAGUAGCGCUCUCAUACGGCGUGUGUCGCUGGUUCAAAUCCAGCUAGAACCU
rnacentral:tRNA from 1 species